rnacentral:rRNA from 1 species
GCUACGGCACACCGGCCUGAGUACGCCUGAUCUCGUCCGAUCUCGGAAGCUAAGCAGGGUCGGGCCUGGUUAGUACUUGGAUGGGAGACCGCCUGGGAAUACCAGGUGCUGUAAGCU